AUUGAACGCUGGCGGCAUGCCUUACACAUGCAAGUCGAACGGCAGCGGGUGAGAAGCUUGCUUUUCCUGCCGGCGAGUGGCGAACGGGUGAGUAAUACAUCGGAACGUGCCCUGUAGUGGGGGAUAACUAGUCGAAAGAUUAGCUAAUACCGCAUACGACCUGCGGGUGAAAGGGGGGGACCGCAAGGCCGCAUGCUAUAGGAGCGGCCGAUGUCUGAUUAGCUAGUUGGUGGGGUAAAGGCCUACCAAGGCGACGAUCAGUAGCUGGUCUGAGAGGACGAUCAGCCACACUGGGACUGAGACACGGCCCAGACUCCUACGGGAGGCAGCAGUGGGGAAUUUUGGACAAUGGGCGAAAGCCUGAUCCAGCAAUGCCGCGUGUGUGAAGAAGGCCUUCGGGUUGUAAAGCACUUUUGUCCGGAAAGAAAUGGCUCUGGUUAAUACCUGGGGUCGAUGACGGUACCGGAAGAAUAAGGACCGGCUAACUACGUGCCAGCAGCCGCCGUAA
rnacentral:rRNA from 1 species